rnacentral:rRNA from 1 species
AACGAACGCUGGCGGUAUGCCUAACACAUGCAAGUCGAACGAGAUCUUCGGGUCUAGUGGCGCACGGGUGCGUAACGCGUGGGAAUCUGCCCUUUGGUUCGGAAUCACAGUUGGAAACGACUGCUAAUACCGGAUGAUGACGAAAGUCCAAAGAUUUAUAGCCAGAGGAUGAGCCCGCGUAGGAUUAGCUAGUUGGUGUGGUAAAGGCGCACCAAGGCGACGAUCCUUAGCUGGUCUGAGAGGAUGAUCAGCCACACUGGGACUGAGACACGGCCCAGACUCCGACGGGAGGCAGCAGUGGGGAAUAUUGGACAAUGGGCGAAAGCCUGAUCCAGCAAUGCCGCGUGAGUGAUGAAGGCCUUAGGGUUGUAAAGCUCUUUUACCCGGGAUGAUAAUGACAGUACCGGGAGAAUAAGCUCCGGCUAACUCCGUGCCAGCCGCCGCCGUAA